UAAUACAUGUGGGGCAAGCGUUGUUCGGAAUUACUGGGCAUAAAGGGUGCGUAGGUGGCUUGUUAAGUCAGGGGUGAAAGUUUUCGGCCCAACCGGAAAAUGGCCUUUGAUACUGGCGAGCUGGAGUGCGUGAGGGGUAACCGGAACGAGCAGUGUAGCGGUGAAAUGCGUAGAUAUUGCUCGGAAGGCCAACGGCGAAGGCAGGUUACUGGUGCGCAACUGACACUGAGGCACGAAAGCGUGGGGAGCAAACAGGAUUAGAUACCCUGGUAGUCCACGCCGUAAACGAUGAGCACUAGGUAGGUGCCGAGCUAUUCGGUGCCUGCCGCAGGUAAUUUGGUAAGUGCUCCGCCUGGGGAGUAUGGUCGCAAGGCUG
rnacentral:rRNA from 1 species